rnacentral:lncRNA from 1 species
AGCUUUUAUACCCAUUGAACUUUUACAGGGUAUCUAGAUUUUGGAGCGAGCAGUAGAAUGGAAUAAACGGAUGGAAAAUUAAUUCAAAUAUGGAUAUAUCGUUAAUACCAGAAGUUUUUAUUAUUGUUUUAACUUCGAUUGUAAUUGUCGCGCUGGUGCCACUAUGUUUGUCCGCACAACACAAAUAUUCAGUAAUUUUUAUCAGCAUUAUUAUUGUUGAAUAUAUAUUUGAAGUGCUUCGUGUUUUAUAUUUUGUUAAAUUUUACUGGAACAAAGCAGAUUUGUUGUUGUUUGUUUUUCCUCUCAGAUCCAUGCCUUCAAUUUCAAUGACUUGUUCCGUACUGCUUGGCACAAUUAUCUUGUCAUCCGUUUCAUUCAAAAAAUUGUCAGUAAAAGUUUUGUGUUCCAUCUACGUCCUUAUAUCGCUAAUAUUAAUCAUAAUAUGGAACAAUUUCUUGGCAACCUGCUUGAUUGUUGAUCACCCUGGUCAAACCAAAAGAACCUACUGUGACCAUUACCUGAUAAAUUCAGAUACAUUUGACUACUACAAAUGCCUCAUUGAUUAUGGACGACCUAAUACAGGUUUCUAUUGCUUUGAGGAUUGGGCACCUUGGACCAGUGGUUAUUUUCUGGAAUAUUUGCUUUUGAGUGUCCCGUCUUUUGCAGUACUAUACGAUAAACUAUACAAGAUGUUACGAUUUUCUGGUAAGUAAAGUUUGUACGAAAAUAAAAAAAAUAUACCUGCUUUUAAAAUCAUCUUUAACAAAAGUAAUGACACAACUUUAUAGAUUUAAGAAAUUUGCAAAAAAUAGACAGAAAGAACAACACUUUUACUAUUUCCGAAAGUGUGCCUAUGAAAAAAAAUUAAUCGAAUAACUUAAGUUGCCCUGAAAAAAACCGAUAUAUAAACACUCAUCAAAGAUACAAUGAUUAUGAUUAUGUAAAAAUUGCAAAAUUUAUAAACACUUUACAUUUUGACAGAUGAAUAAUAAACUAUAUAAACAUACCCUUUUAUCUCCUUUUUUUUGUAUUUCAGAACUGAAGAAUUGUAAUGAAACUUGUUCCAUCUGCUGUUUCAACAUUUCACUGUAUAACCAUACAAUGGCGCUGGCCCUUUUUAUAAUUUGGUGCGUGAGACCGACUUUUUAUUUGUUUGUUGCGCCAGGGUUCUUUCGGAUUACGUCUUUCUGCAUUGACCUAAUUAUUAUGAUAUCGUCAGCGGUUUUUUUUAUACUAGCAUUGAUUUACAUUCUUAAAUUCUAUCUUUUUCGUAAAUUUGUCUUUAAUGUUGAUAAUGACAGUGAAUGUAAUGUUGUCCUUACAGAAUGUACGUAUGGGAAACAAAAAGACAAAUCCAAACAUUGUGAGCAAAAUGAAUGUUAAUAAAAAAAAAGAUCUUUCCUUAGGGCAAAAAGAAUACAAUGUCUUUUUUUAUUUUCUGUUUCGUCAAAAAACAUGGCUGUCAUGGCUUAAAAUAGAACAAACAAGUAAACUGCAGUUUUUGUCUGAGCAUUACUUUUCUAUCGGAUCAAUGUUUGAUUCUAGCAAUAAUCCGAAAUGGAAGUGGAGUUUAAAU